UUGGAAAGCGUCCUGAACCAAAGAGAGAGGGAGGGGGGAAGAGAAAGAGAGAGAGGGAGGUGGUGCAUCCUCCGCAUCCUCCUCCUCCUCCACGCCUGCCCGGCUGCGGCAAAGCUCCGCAGUAGGUGCUCCCCUCCCCCGUGCAUUUCCUUUGCUGUAGAAACUUCUGGAAUCAGCAGCCGAGCUGGGGAGAGGAAAGCAGAGCAACCCUGCUGCCCGCAGAGGGGGGAGAAAAAAAAAAGCGAGCUGAGCCAUAGAGCAGGCAAUAAAAGGGAGAGGAAUGCACAGCAGCGGGGCACGCACGUCGCUCCGUGCAUCACGUAGGGCAGCCCGCGGGGCUGGAAAUAAAGCACAAAAGCACACAAAUGGUGGUGUGUGCGGCGCUGGAUAGUGGGACAAGGAGCUGAGCCCUCCUCCCGGAGCUGCACUAAGCCCUGCCACUCAGUUCAGCUCAUCCGUCCUCAUUUCGGUGCAAUGAAUUCAGUGCCUGCCCGACUGCACUGGCAGAGUCAGCUGCCUUCUUCUUUUUUUUUUUUUCUUUUUUUUAAAUAAUUAAUAUUGCUUUCCUUUUUGGUUCUGUUUCACUGCUUUAUUUUUUACUUUUUAUUUUUUUAUCCUUUAAUUAAGAAAUCUUUCCCCAACAUCCCAAGGGAAAUCUACACCUCUGUGGAACAAAUAAAGCAUUCAGGCACCAAUCUUCACCACGGACUGAUCAAAUGGGCGGCUGGUCGCAUUUUGCUUGUUUUUACCUUUUUUAACUAUUAUUUUUCGUCUUUUUUUUUUUUCUUUUGGGUGUGUGCGUGUAAUUUUUUUUCCCUCUUGCUCUUAGGACAGUAGAAAGCCAAUGGAGGAAAACAAAGUGCUGGCUCCUGCUCGCCGCUCCCCAGCAGCUUUCACCUCGGAGGCAGUGAUGGCAGAGGGAAGGCACGCCAGGAAUCCAGCUCAGCUCUCCCUCAGUCCACCGCCUGCUUUUCACAUUUCUCACGGCUGAUGGGGCCGUUUCCAACCCGUUUCCCUUUACAGCCUUGCUUAUGCUGCACCAAAAUCUUCAGCUUGCAAAUGAAACCUGCGAAAGGCCUUUUUUGUUACAAAGGAAAACCGUGAUCGCUGGUUUAAAAAUGUUACGGUCGCGCCUGUCAGCUCCUUUUAGCAACCCUAGAGCUGCAAGAAAGAUAACCUUUGUGGUUUUUUGUCCUACAUUCUCAUGUUCCUGGGAGCAGGGCACGGUGUCGGAUGCCUUCUCUGGGAAAGACCAGGGAAAUUUUAU
rnacentral:lncRNA from 1 species